GACGAACGCUGGCGGCGUGCCUAAUACAUGCAAGUAGAACGCUGAAGAGAGGAGCUUGCUCUUCUUGGAUGAGUUGCGCACGGGUGAGUAACGCGUAGGUAACCUGUCUUGUAGCGGGGGACAACUAUUGGAAACGAUAGCUAAUACCGCAUAACAAUGGAUGACACAUGUCAUUUAUAUGAAAGGGGCAAUUGCUCCACUACAAGAUGGACCUGCGUUGUAUUAGCUAUUAGGUGAGGUAAUGGCUCACCUAGGCGACGAUACAUAGCCGACCUGAGAGGGUGAUCGGCGCCACUGGGACUGAGACACGGCCCAGACUCCUACGGGAGGCAGAGGUGUGGGAUAUUCGGCACUGGGGGCGACCCUGACAGAGAGACGCCGCGUGAGUGAGGAGGGUUUUCGGAUCGUAAAGCUCUGUUGUAAGUCAAGAGCGGGUGUGGGAGUAGAAAGUUCACAGUGUGACGGUAGCUUACCAGAAAGGGACGGCUAACUACGUG
rnacentral:rRNA from 1 species